GGAGAGGACCGGGCAGUCGCCGGUCGGGCCGCGAGGUCCGGCGGGAGGAAAGUCCGGGCGCCAGAGGACAGGGUGGUGGGUAACUCCCACCGGCCGUGAGGCCAGGGCAAGUGCAACAGAAAGCAGACCGCCAGCGGCUUCGGCCGCUGGUAAGGGUGAAACGGUGCGGUAAGAGCGCACCAGCAGGCGGGGUGACUCGCUUGGCUAGGUAAACCCCACCCGGCGCAAGGCCAAGCAGGGGGCAAGAGUCGGUCCGGCUCGCUUCAACCCCCGGGUAGGCCGCUUGAGACGGCGAGCAAUCGCCGCCCUAGAGGAAUGAUUGCCGCCCGCCUUCGGGCGGGGACAAAACCCGGCUUACAGGUCCUCUCCACUU
rnacentral:RNase_P_RNA from 1 species